AGGUGCUCAGGAUCCAGGGAGAGAGGCAGACUCAACAUGCAAACAACUCUUCUAUGAGGGUAAGUGUAAUUGAGGGCCCUAGGAGAACUUUAGUAGUGGAGGGUUUCUUGUGUUUCUCCCUUUGGACUGCCUAACUCAAGCAGUGUUCUUGACCCAUAUAAGCUAUGUAGUGUUUCCCCUCUCUUAUCUACUGUACUAAUUUCUGUGUCUCUCUUGGAAAUUACUGCCCUGAUCUCGAAACUUAACUUCACCCAUUGCUUGGUGAGUGGUGUGGAAAACUUCUCUCGGGUCUAUGUCUUAUCCCUGAAAAAUCUUGCCACAGCUGCUCAGGAAGAGUGUACAAACUCAUUUCCCCAACAUGAAAGUCACAAAAAUUUUGAAAAAGUUUUCCCUAAAAUUGCUGUGAGAAGGUCUUGCUGAUUAUUUUUGUUCUCAAUUAUAUAUUCUUUGGGGGGAAAGCCUGUAGCUUGCUCACUCAUGGGACAGAUCUUUCGUGGGUUACAUGAAGAGCAGAUCUGUGAAUGUUGUCAUCCCCUGCUUGUUCCUGCUUUCUUGUGGUUACCAUCUUUGUCUUUAACCUUUAGUUUUUGGCUGAGUGAAAAAUUUCCAGACUCCUGAAAUCACCACAAUCAGAUACAGGAGACAUAGUAGAGCUCACUUGUAGAAAGUGUCUUUUUUCUGGUACAGAGAAGAAUGGUUUAGAGACACCCUUCUCUAGUAUAUGCCAUAAAAUAGCCUAUCUAAACCUUGGAAUAUUAUUGUGUUAAAGUACAUGUAGCAUGUGUAGCAUGUUUAAAUGUCCUUUUAUGAAGAAUUUAAAGCAAAAAGGAAA
ensembl:lncRNA novel transcript